rnacentral:rRNA from 1 species
AUACGAACCGUCCAAACGUUAUUCGGAAUCAUUGGGCUUAAAGGGUACGUAGGCGGCGCUGUAAGUCGGGUGUGAAAUCCCUCGGCUCAACCGAGGAAUUGCGCCCGAUACUGCAGUGCUUGAGGGAGACAGGGGUAAGCGGAACUGAUGGUGGAGCGGUGAAAUGCGUUGAUAUCAUCAGGAACACCAGUGGCGAAAGCGGCUUACUGGGUCUCUUCUGACGCUGAGGUACGAAAGCUAGGGUAGCGAACGGGAUUAGAUACCCCGGUAGUCCUAGCCGUAAACGUUGAGCACUUGAUCGGGGAUCCCCCCAUAGGUUCCCGGUCGUAGCGAAAGUGUUAAGUGCUCCGCCUGGGGAGUAUGGUCGCAAGGCUGAA